AGCAAGAGCCCGGAGAUGGAUUCUGAGACACGAAUCCAGGCCCUACGGGGUGCAGCAGGCGCGAAAACUUUACAAUGCUGGCAACAGCGAUAAGGGAACCUCGAGUGCCAGGUUACAAAUCUGGCUGUCGAGAUGCCUAAAAAGCAUUUCAUAGCAAGGGCCGGGCAAGACCGGUGCCAGCCGCCGCGGUAACACCGGCGGCUCGAGUGGUAACCGUUAUUAUUGGGUCUAAAGGGUCUGUAGCCGGCCGGAUAAGUCUCUUGAGAAAUCUGGCAGCUUAACUGUCAGGCUUUCAGGAGAUACUGUCUGGCUCGAGGCCGGGAGAGGUGAGAGGUACUUCAGGGGUAGGGGUGAAAUCUUGUAAUCCUUGAAGGACCACCAGUGGCGAAGGCGUCUCACCAGAACGGACCUGACGGCAAGGGACGAAAGCUAGGGGCACGAACCGGAUUAGAUACCCGGGUAGUCCUAGCCGUAAACGAUACUCGCUAGGUGUCGGCCACGGUGCGACCGUUGUCGGUGCCGUAGGGAAGCCGUGAAGCGAGCCACCUGGGAAGUACGGCCGCAAGGCUGAAACUUAAAGGAAUUGGCGGGGGAGCACCACAACGGGUGGAGCUUGCGGUUUAAUUGGAUUCAACGCCGGAAAUCUUACCGGGACCGACAGCAAUAUGAAGGCCAGGCUGAAGACUUUGCCGGAUUAGCUGAGAGGUGGUGCAUGGCCGUCGUCAGUUCGUACUGUGAAGCAUCCUGUUAAGUCAGGUAACGAGCGAGACCCA
rnacentral:rRNA from 1 species